AAGGCAACAGAGGUUCUCUACCUGAUGAGUGUGCACAGUGUGGGCAGGCAAGGGCUGAUACAAAAUGGAGUCAUUUCUGCCCUCACUGGGCUCUUGGAUGAUCCAGUAGAUAUCUGUCGGAAGAACAUCCAUCUGGUUUUUGAUAUGAUGGCA